UGGAUUGCUGAUGAUAUCUUGGCUCCCUCUACUGAAUACUGUGAGGAGAUUGCCACUGUUACCCAAUUUUCUGUCUGAGAUGUG